CAGUCGCCGCGGGAAUACGGAGGGUGCAAGCGUUAAUCGGAAUUACUGGGCGUAAAGCGCACGCAGGCGGUCUGACAAGUCAGAUGUGAAAUCCCCGGGCUUAACCUGGGAACUGCAUUUGAAACUGUCAGGCUGGAGUCUUGUAGAGGGGGGUAGAAUUCCAGGUGUAGCGGUGAAAUGCGUAGAGAUCUGGAGGAAUACCGGUGGCGAAGGCGGCCCCCUGGACAAAGACUGACGCUCAGGUGCGAAAGCGUGGGGAGCAAAUAGGAUUAGAUACCCCAGUAGUCCCUGUCUCUUAUAC
rnacentral:rRNA from 1 species